ensembl:lncRNA
ACUGGUUGUUUAUAAUGAUUUUUAUACUUUUUAGAUGAAGCUUUGUAUUAUAUUAAAAAAGAAGGUACUUUGGCAAAAGUGGUCAGCACAAAAAAAGAGCCCAAGAAAUUUUUGAAGAGCUCCACAGCAGCCCAAUAGGUGCUCACUGUGGCAUUCAAAAAACCCUGGAUGCCAUAAGUAAGUGCUUUUAUUGGCCUGGUAUGUCUGUGGCCAUAAAAAAAUGGGUGAGUUUAAUAUAUGAAUCCUUUUUCAUUUCUAUACGUCCAUCAAAACUGAUUUUGAUAAUACAUUUUAGGUCAAACACUGUGCCGCUUGUCAGAAAAAGCAACGUUCUCUGAAAAACCCAACGGAAUAUACCCCUAUCGUGGUAAUUCAUGUUUUUAUGAAAAAAAAAAAAACAAGGAAUAUUUUAUAACCGCAAUUUUAUAUUAAACAUUAAUGUUUAUUAGGUGCCAUAGCCUUGGGAUAUUGUGGGGAUGGAUUUAGUUGGAAAGCUCACACCAACAAAGCAGGCUACCAGUACAUCUGUGUCAUUGUAGAUUACUUUACAAAGUGGUGUGAGGCUUUCCCACUGAAAACCAAAAGCGCAGAGGAGGUAAUGGCCUGCAUAAUAAAAUUGUUCUACAAAUUUGGUGCCCCUAAAAGGCUCCUAACAGAUCAAGGCACUGAAUUUGUAAAUAAGGUUAGUGCUUUGCUUUUUAUUUGUGUUUUAUUCCAUCCAUUGUUCUACAUAAGGAAAUACCUUAUUCUCACUAAUUUGUAAAUGAGAUUUGUGUUGAUCUGUACACAGAUCAAUCUGGGUGAGUACCAAACUCUGGGCAUAAAGAGAAGUCUAUGUGCACCAUACCAUCCACAAACAAAUGGACUGGUUGAGAGACUCAAUGGCACAAUUCAGAGAUGUUUGAGCAAGUUGGUAGGGAACAGGCCAAGCUCGUGGGCUGAUUAUUUGGAGGCCACAAUGUUUGGUCUGCGAACCAAAAAGCAGAUAACAAACAAAUUGUCCCCAUACUUUCUGCUAUUUGGUCGUGAGGCUAGGUACCCAUGUGAGGUACCAGACACCUAUGAGGUAGGCACUUUAAAUUUUCUAUAGCAGUAUUUUUUUCCAAUGUGUAAGCACAAUUUUCUUCUAUACUGUAGAUCAAUGAAAGUGUGGAGGAAAUGAUUGCAGAGGAGUGCAUUUCUGAAUGUAUUAAACUGCAGGACAGGUUGUACCAAACUGUUCAGGAGAAUAUGGCACAAGUGCAAAAAAAAUAAGAAAGAGGAAACUUGAUCAAUUAGAGGCUGUUGUCAUGUAGGUUGGGGACGGAGUCCUGAGGCAAAACAAAAGAAGUCAACAGAGAAAGAGGGCAAAUUGGAUCCUGAUUUUUUAGGCCCAUACACUGUCACUUAAGUUGAUGGUAAAAGCGUAGACGUUGUGGAUGACCAUGGAAAACUAUUUCCAAGAGUAAACAUUGAUCACCUGGUACACUUUUUAGAAGAUCACCCAACAAAAGCUCCCAAGGUCACUUCACCCAUCACAACCACACCCUUCCCUACCACAACUUUUUCAGUUCCUCAUACCACCCAGACUGCGGCCUCCUCUGCUGUGCCUUGCACUGAUUGUAUGUAUCCACCAGGCGCGCUGGAAGCUGUUUCAUGCGGGGGGGGGCUGAGGGCUGGGUUGGAAAAUAUGUGACGUCAUUAUGUUGUGACUGACGACAUGAAAUUUCUCUACUAGUCUUCUCCCCUGGCGUGAUUGUUACUGUUUUAUACACAAAAAUUGUAGCCUACUUGAUGUACUUGUACUUUGAUGUUUAAUAAAAAUAAAUAAAUAAAAAAAUAAUAAAAAAAAAAUCUCUGUACUGUUUAGGCUAUGUGUUGUAGCCAUUAAAGAAAACAUAUUUGGUUUCAUAUUUGUUUAAAUAUUAUAGGCUAAUGUAAUUUUUUUAUUUAUUUAAUCAAUGUUUAUUAUGAAAGUGAGCAUGCAGCAUGAGAAAGAUAUGAUACAUCAUGCGCAAUAGCCUAUGAGACAUGGAGUGGGUAAGACAUGAUUUUGACCACUUUAUUCAGUUUUGUUUUGUAGAAAGACUCUGUUUAAAAGAUUUUCGUUUUGUAUAAAUUGUAUCUUAAUUUUGAUCAAUAUUUUAUCAACCCAUUGCCUGUAUUUAAUAAACAAGCAAAUAUAUUAGCAGACAAUGUAAUAAGGUGCCGGCACAUCACUUGUAUUGCACGUGAACUGGAGGGCGCAGAAACUCAGCUUGUGCCUCACAGACAGUUUUGAGAAAUAUAGGCUAUCUAUUAUAGAAAGCUUAAAAAUGUCUACUUUUAAACGAAAAUAUUCAAAACGAAAAGAAAUAGGCUACUCUCUGAAUAUGUAGGCCUAAUCCAUAUGAAAUGUGCAUUUCUCUCUGGCGUUCAUGGCGAGUCCGCAUCGUCUUUGCAGCGACACAGAAAUAUUAAAAUAAUUAAUCAUUAGUUUAUAUAUUAUACACUAUAUCUUAAUCCCACAUUAAACACAUUGUUAUGUCUGUUUUUUUUUUUUUUUCACGUUUUUAAGUACAAUAUUAGGUUAAUCCACAGCCCCCCACCAGGGGGGGCUGAUGCUAUGACGAGGGGGGCUGCAGCCCCCGCAGCACCCCCCUUCCCGCGCCAUUGGUAUCCACCUUUUAAAACCUACAGUGUGUAAAGAGAACACCACUCUAUUAUCACUAGUGUUGUGUUGUGUUGUGUGUGUGUGUGUGUGUGUGUGUUUCUUUCUCUUUUUCUUACUAUUUUCUGUAUUACAAGACAUCUGGACAGGAAAAGUAGGAGGAAGACUGUGGAGCAAAAUAGGUCCAUAUAAAAUAUUUACCUGGGAUCUUGAGUGCCUCCAACCUGGAGAGAAGCUUGAGAGUGAGGUGAGCUAGUUUUCACACAAUUCUUAAUAAUUCAUUUAUUUAGACUUGCAUAGCAAGCAGGUAUGCAGGAAAGGCAUUUGUCAUUGAUUCAUUUCAAAUGACAAAUCUGUGGAAUGGCAAGGCCAAUGAAAUGAAGAAGGUAAACAAGCUUGUUUGUUUUGAUAUGACUAUCAUUAAUGUUCAUGUUUCAUCUGUAAUUGUCUGUGUACCCAUAGACGAAUCUGCAGGUUUAUGAUUUGUUGGUGGGCUCUGUAAAUGAGGGUGACCACUGGACACUGCUGGUUUGUUUCACUCUGUGAUGUCUGUUGUUCUAUUACACUAUAAGCUAAUGGAUUUUUGUUCCUUUAAGACUGAAAGAUAAAUUCAAUGUCUUGCCAGGCAAUAUAUCCAAAGGAAGGAAAUAUCAUUUAUAUGAACUCCUGUGAUGAAAGCACCAGGAAAUUUGCCCACUGCCUUAAGGCUGUGAGGUGAGAAAUUAAAGAACCCUCAUCAGGUAAUGGUUUAUAAGUUUUAUACAAAUUUUUCUUUCUUCAAUAAAAGGGGUUUUGUGGAUACAAAGGGUUUCAAGGGUGCCACAUGGAAGUGUGUCAAAUUACCUCACAGCCUACAACCAGAUGCCACUUCAUGUGGGGUGAUUGUGUGUAAGGUAAGCAGUUUUUAUAAUUGCAUUACACUUGUUAACUUGUUGAUCAUGUUCCAUAAGAUAUUUAGUAAAUUUUCUACCAUAAAUGUAUCAAAACUUAAUUUUUGAUUAGCAAUAUACAUUGCUAAGAACUUCAUUUUGACAACUUUAAAGGCGAUUUUCUCAGUAUGUUUUACUUAUUUUUUUUUUUUUGUACCCUCAGAUUCCAGACAUUUAAAUAGUUGUAUCUCGGCCAAAUAUUGUCCUAUUUUAAUAAAAGCUUAUUUAUUCAGCUUUCAGAUGAUGUAUAAAUCUCAAAUUUGAAAAAUUGACACUUAAGAUUUUGUGUUCCAGGGUCACAUAUGUGGUAUGUUUCUUAGCUACUUAUGUGAAACAGCUGAACAAGAAAAAAUAAAUAUUGUAUUAGAUCUUUAUGCCACCUCAGAUAUUUGUAUAAAAGUUAUCAAACAAAAGUUUAAAAGACCCUGGAAAGGGUUUAAAACGCUUGUAUAUAUCUACUUAAUGGCUGUUGGCUCAUUUACCAGGAGUGUAUCCUAAUGAUAGGAAGGUAAAUCAAUGGCUGUAAUUAUGAAAUCAAACAUAACGUAUAAUACAAACUACAAACUAUUUUGCUUGGAUGAACAAAAAGCUGUCGCUGAACCACACAUACGUAAAACUUCUGUGCGGUGAUGAUUCUAGAGUGCACUGAUAUUUUCAGAGUCACUUUAACACGAAACAGGAAACUCAUGAAUAUUCAUGUAUGCUCCGCCCAGCGUCACCAAAAAUCUCAGACACCGAAUAUUUUAGAACACUGGCCACUUCACUUAGAUUGGCGAAGACAUCAUUACUGAUGAUGCUGUUCAUCAAGGCCACAAACUCAUUUAACCAGUCCAAAACCAAAUGGCUUCUGAGUAAAAGGAAAUCUGUACCGUAUGAACUGUCGUCAACUUGCUGUGUGAGUGUCAAAAUGUCCUCCACAAUUUCCACUAUUAAUAAUUGUUUAUUUCCGUCGACUGUGAGUGACGUCACUUCCUAAUGCAAACAUGCCCAAUAAAAUGGCCCCACCCCUGUCGCUUGAUUGACAAGUUUCCGUGUAGAAAUCGGAAAUUCAAAUGCAAAAGGAAUUGCGAUUCCAUGUGAGUUUUGGCAGUUUACAUGCGCAGUGCAGAGAGAGUGAAAAAGCAAAUGUGGUAAUUAAUAUUGCUAUUUAAAUAUGACAGGCUCAUAGCUCGUAAGACAAGAGAAAUGCAUUUGAGAAUGGACUUACUCACUGUGCAUUUGGAUUAUGUCACAAUUUAUGCGUCCACAUUUUGAAAAUGCAAAUGAAAAUACAUUUUGCAAUUCCAUUUGAAAAUAGUCCGGAAAAUCCUUCCAUACAAAAUGAUACUAGGGCUGCACAAUGAAUCAAAUUUCUAAUAGUGAUUACAAUUAUGGAUACCACAAUUUACAUAUUUACGUAAAAAAGGCACACUUUCAAUGAUAAUCAUAAUUAUGUCUACUUACAUAAUUCUGUGUGCUUAAUAUAUUUUUUUCAUCUCUACAGGUUACCUUAAAGAGGUGCUAUUAUGCUUUUUCACUUUUUCAGCUUUAGUUAGUCUGUAAUGUUGCUGUUUGAGCAUAAAAAAGAUCUGCAAAGUUAUUGUACAGGUGACCAACCAGAGUGUGCUUUCUAUCGCUGCGAGCACCGCCGCAUCUGCAAAGUGCAUUUGCAGCUUUUGAUCGCUGAGUGGCGCUUUAACCACAAGUUAUCAAACA